GGGAAGAUAACGAUGGUUGUUUUUACCCGCCUUGGACGCGGGAGGUUGCAGGUUCGAAUCCUGCUUCUCA
rnacentral:tRNA from 1 species